rnacentral:rRNA from 1 species
AGUGAACGCUGGCGGUAGGCCUAACACAUGCAAGUCGAACGGCAGCACAGUAAGAGCUUGCUCUUACGGGUGGCGAGUGGCGGACGGGUGAGGAAUACAUCGGAAUCUACUUUUUCGUGGGGGAUAACGUAGGGAAACUUACGCUAAUACCGCAUACGACCUACGGGUGAAAGCAGGGGAUCUUCGGACCUUGCGCGAUUGAAUGAGCCGAUGUCGGAUUAGCUAGUUGGCGGGGUAAAGGCCCACCAAGGCGACGAUCCGUAGCUGGUCUGAGAGGAUGAUCAGCAACACUGGAAAUGAGACACGGUCCAGACUCCUACGGGAGGCAGCAGUGGGGAAUAUUGGACAAUGGGCGCAAGCCUGAUCCAGCCAUACCGCGUGGGUGAAGAAGGCCUUCGGGUUGUAAAGCCCUUUUGUUGGGAAAGAAAAGCAGCAGGUUAAUACCCCGCUGUUCUGACGGUACCCAAAGAAUAAGCACCGGCUAACUUCGUG